UGGGGAAUAUUGCACAAUGGGCGAAAGCCUGAUGCAGCCAUGCCGCGUGUGUGAGGAAGGCCUUAGGGUUGUAAAGCACUUUCAGCGAGGAGGAAAGGUUGUUAGUUAAUACCUGACAGCUGUGACGUUACUCGCAGAAGAAGCACCGGCUAACUCCGUGCCAGCAGCCGCGGUAAUACGGAGGGUACGAGCGUUAAUCGGAAUUACUGGGCGUAAAGCGUGCGUAGGCGGCUACUUAAGUUGGAUGUGAAAGCCCCGGGCUCAACCUGGGAACUGCAUCCAAAACUGGGUGGCUAGAGUGCGAGAGAGGAGUGUGGAAUUUCCUGUGUAGCGGUGAAAUGCGUAGAUAUAGGAAGGAACACCAGUGGCGAAGGCGACACUCUGGCUUGACACUGACGCUGAGGUACGAAAGCGUGGGGAGCAAACAGGAUUAGAUACCCUGGUAGUCCACGCCGUAAACGAUGUCUACUAGUUGUCCGUUGUCUUGUACGAUGGGUAACGCAGCUAACGCGAUAAGUAGACCGCCUGGGGAGUACGGCCGCAAGGUUA
rnacentral:rRNA from 1 species